CCGCUGCUCGCGCCUGCGCGCAGGCCACGGAUCCUCCUCCGCGCGCGCCCUGCCCCCCACACGCCCUCGCUCGAACACACACUUCGCCUCUGUGACCCCGCCCCUCACCGGCCAGCUGCGUUGGCGGCCCUCCCCCACCUCGCCUGGGAGGGUGGUGACCCCCGACCCCCCAGAAAGCACAACACCCCCCAAACAGUGGGGAGAAGCGCCCCGGUCCCCUUCAGCCGCCCUCUGCCCCAGUCAGCCCGUUACAGUCACACAACCUGAGGGCCGGGCGGCCUGGGCGAGGGCAGCCGUUGCCCGCCUCAAAGCGGGGGUCUCCCAGGGUCAGGCCUCUGGGCCGGGUCGGCCAGACUGCCCAGGGCGAGGGGGCGCAGGGAAGGGGCGCCUUCCCGCCGGCUGCCCUCCCCUCGCGCGCCCGCCGCUGGGCCGAGGCCGGCCUGCCCGCCAUCCCCGGGCAGGCCCUUGGCGCCCCCGCCGCGGGGCCCGUCCGCCCUCGGCUCGGGGGGCUGCUCGGUGCAGCAGCCCGGCCCCGCCUCACCCACUCCUCGCCGCUCCAAAGGGGCAGGAAACGGGAGUAGCAUGUCUGUCCUGGGCUCGCCUCCCCUGGGGGGAGCUCCGGGCGCUUGACAAGGGCGUCCACAGGUACCAGGCUCGGGAAUGGUCGCCGCGACGGCCCGGGGGCGUUGGCGGCUGGCGCGCCCACCGCGGGCCCGAGGCGCCCUGGGAGGUGGCCCUGGAAGCCCCCGCUCCUCGGCCACGCUCAGGUUUCCGCAGCGCCCGUGCCCCCGGCGGCCCGGGUGGGACGUGACCCCGCCCCCGGCGAGUCGGGGCGCCCCCCAAGGAGGGGUGCGCGAGCCGUCCUCAGCCCCCGGGCCGACCCCGCCGCCCCGGGCCGCGGCGGGCGCGGGAGGCCCGGCCGGGAAGAUGUCGUCUCUCGGUGCGCGCAGCUUCACGCGAGGGUCAGCGACGGGGCAGCGGCCGCCUAGCCGUGCCAGCCCUGCCCACGAACGGGCUCCCGCGGCUCGACAGCUGCCCGACGGGCUUGCAGGCUGGGGACGUCGUCGGAGCCCGGCCGGAGGAUUAUUGUGGAGUCAAAUGGACUAAUCAACAACCUCCUAUGGAAGCUGGAAGACAAUGUAUUUACAAAGGAUUGCUGGUUCUCAUUUCUUUUUAUUUAUUUUCCUAUAAGAAAGAUUUGUUACCAAGUACCUUGUGCUUAACACUAAAUUAAGUGCUGGGAUGGAAAAAGGAGAUUUGAAAAGUUAGAAAGCAUGGAUUUUGCUCUUGAAGACUUUGCACCAUGGAAGAGAUGCCAGGAAGAUGCGACAUACUAAGAUAACGGUGGUCAUGACCGUGAAUUGCUGGAAAAUACUGUAGGCAAGAAGAACUGGAUAUAGAAUUCCACUGGGCUGUGGGCCCCACGGGACAGGAAGUUUUGUUCCUUUUGUUUAUGUUUGCUGAUACCAUGCUGGGAGCCUAGAACAGUGCCCGGCGGAGUUGGCCCUGACUCAGUCAUUGGUGUUUAUUGAACCAAUGAAGAUCAGUGGUGCUUUGAGGGACAAAGAAGCAUGAAGGCUGGGGGGCUUUGAACGCUUGCAAAGUUUGAUUUUGACAGAGUAAGAAAGGCACAUAUGUUCUGCAGCAAAGGUUUGAUAUACUAUCGAUUAUUCCAGGUAAACUAUUCCUGCAGCUGUCACUUCAGCUAAAGUAGAGGUGAUAGAAACUGAAGUCCUUACUACUGCAAACCACACCGUGAGGCAAGUUUGCAAAUUUUAGGCCAAGUACAUCAUUCUAUUGUAGCUUCUCUUGUGAUCUAGUCUUUCUGCUCCACUUAUCUCUGCCGUCUGCAGUUUCUGGGUGUCGUCCGUAGAGUCCAUAUCAGAGCACAGCUGUUGAUAUGACAUUAUAAAGUUAAUAUCACCAGCCGACUUUUUUUCAAAAUGCCUCUUUAAUUAUACUAAUGUUCAUUAUCUUUGGCGUGUUUAGUUUUAAAAUGACAGUCUCCCUUUUUUCCCCAAAUGCUUGCUAAAUGUUUAAACUCUGAAAUGUAUUCAGUCUUCUUUUUCUUCCUGGCUAAAUCUAUUUUUGCACCCUCUGGGGGACUGCAAAAAAAUAUUGACUGCAGUUAAGGUGAGAUUUCCACAUCAUGUUUUUUUUGCAAAUAUACUUGAUUUGCCACAGCUUGCCGUUCAUGUUUUGAUUUGGUCAUAAUUACUAGGUCUGCUUCUAUUGUUGAUCUAAUUAUCUUCUUAUUGGUAAAUUACGUUUCCUUAGUUAACUUUCAAUUCUUCUAUAAUUUUAUUGGUAUAAGGAAUGUGAGAGAUAUAAGAGCUAUACCUUAGUCCUUUAUUAUUAAAACUGCUUACAAGAUGUACACAUCUGUUGGGAAUUCCUUGGUCGUCCCCUGGUUAAGACUCUGAGUUUCCACUGCAGGGAUGUGGGUUCAGUCCCUUCUGGGGGAACUAAGAUCCCACAUACUGAGAGGUACCGCCAAAAAAAAAGAUUGACACGUCGAUGUUUUUAAUGCACAUUUUAUACUGGUGAAGGCUAAUGUUUUGUAUACAUGUUAAUAUUUUUAUGAUGUAUUUUAAAAUUUUCUAUUUCAUUUCAGUAUUUAGUGCUUAUUUGCUAUUUCCUGUAUUUUGUGCGUUACAGUUGACAAAUUCAGAAAAGUGGGCAAAUUGAAUUCCCAGUUCUGGAUUGCUGGAAGAUAAAUAUAGACUUGGCAGAAGCUUGCUUAUUCUGAAUUCACAUUAUUCCUCUUGAAGGGACCAUAUUCAUUUCUAUAUGCAUUUAAGUUGCUCCUUAAUACACAGGCCUGUAAUUCUGAAAGCUAUUGAUAGUAAAACAAUAUAC
ensembl:lncRNA